rnacentral:rRNA from 1 species
AACAGCGGGUCGAUUCCUGAGACUCUUAAGAUAGAGAUCCCUCGUCAUUUUAUUGGUGGCCUGCAUGAUUGGAGUAACGAGGCUGCCACUGUCCCGACGAACGCACAACUAGGGGAACGGGCCCAGAGGAAACAGCGAGUAAAGAAGACCACGUUGAACUCUGCCUUAAUCUGCGGUUCUGCUGCUGUCACUGUGGCGGAGGCAGUGGAAAGGCUUUGCCGAUGGUGAGAAACCCACACACAGUUAACAGCAGCAGUCAUCAGAAGGGACAGUCGCAGGUGAGAGGCUCGGCUGGGGCGGCACCCAACGAUCUCCUCAGUGGAGCUAGAAACCUCGCAUAGAGUGUAAGGGCAAAAGCGGGUCUGAAUCCGACGCAUAUUCCGCGUUGGGCGCGCGAAAGCGUGACCUAGCGAUCCUCGACGAGUCAGUCAGCGAUGGUCGAGAUGCCGAAAAAGUUACCGUGGGAAUAACUGGCUUGUGGCGCUUGAAAGUCCAUAUCGACGGCGCUUUUCGAUUCUUCGAUGUUGGCUCUUCCCAUCCUCGGCUCGCAUGAGAGUCGAAGGGUUUGAUUGUUCACCAGUUAAUGGGGAUCGUGAGUUGAGUUUAGUCCGUCGCGAGACAGGACUGUUUCGCCCUACUGUUUCGGGACUGAACGAUCAGAGCACUCUAGUACGCAAAGAGCGAGUGGUUGGCGCCUCUUGUGUUUCCUGCGGACGAGGGUCUGCGAGAGUAGCUAUGCGCCGGGGACAUCAGCUGAGAGCGUCUCAAGCUGUAAGCCCCUCCGGAAGGUCGUGCUUGUUGUUGGCAAGUUGGGCUGUGAUGACAGUCAACAGCAACGGGCAUCAUCGGUUACACCAACCGAACGGGUAGGAGAACUAUAAGUGAUGAGCAGUUGAAUGAGUCAUUGAGGUAACUCCGAACUCAUUUUUUUAGGUUUGU